GCAUUAAUCAUAAUUCUCACAUCACAGGGAAAAAGAAAAAGAAAAAGAAAGUAAAGAAAAACAUAUGCAUAUGUAUCAUAAUAAUCUAAAUCGCCCUUGUGAAAGUUUCCUUCAAGCUCAAUUCGCAUGUAGAGAAGGAACAGAAAAUGCCAAAGGAUCGAAGUUGCCCUAUAAGAGAAACCGCCAUUAAGAAGGCGAUUCAGGUUUGUUGAGCACAGCUUGCUUGCCAUUUACUUUUCCAUGUACAAUCCUCAAUCACAUAUAAUAGAGAGUUGCAGCAGGAAACACAGCAGCCAAAGAAGUACAUAACGAAUAACAUCACAGGCACAGGCACACACACACACCCUACCUUUUUCAAGAACCGUGUAUAUAUGGCCACCCCUCCAUUCUUUUAUUUCCUGAGCAAAAAGAAACCAAAAGAAGGGGUGGCCAUGGGAAAGUAGUGAAAAGAAAGCCUCACAUAGUAAUGGAGGAAAGGUGCAGUGCUAAGAGGGUUUGCAUAAGGAGGAUUGUGCUGGUUGUUAUAGGUUUUAAUUUUUGAGCUUGUGAUCUUGGUCAGGUAGGCAAUAAAAGGGUGAGAUGACUUAACUAGUAGUGUCUAGUAUGUGGGCACUUUUUUUGGUUUUAUAAAAAGAAACCAAAAAGAAAAGAAAAGAAAGUAGACAGAGUGAAAUGGAGAGGUUGCAUGUUUUUAGCAUCUUCCAUAGGAUAUGCCAUUGCCACCUCCUUUCCUUCAACAUCUAAUGACAACUACUCUUGUCCUUAAUUAUUUCUCUCCAUUUAUUUUUCCACUUUAACCAGUC
rnacentral:lncRNA from 1 species